GGUGAAGUGGACGAAUUAGAUCAAGUUAAAUAAGAGCUUUAAGUGAAUUGUUGAUUAAGCUCACUGCGAAGGUUAAUAAUAAUAAUAAUAAUUUGAAUGUGUUAGUCCAAGGGCCAAACAGUAAUAUUCGGAAAUCAAAUUGUUAAGACAAUCAGAGGGUUUUAAUCGUCAAGCUUCAAGAAACCUAGGGACCAAACCUAUAACCUUCAACACCAUGUUCACUCUUCCUGAUUCGUCGAUGGAAGCUUGUCGUUUUCCCUAUCAUGGUCCUGCAAUUGUUGAUGCAAAUGUAGGGAGCUGGUCCCAUUCCUUUACUCGUUCCAUUGGCCAUUUAAAUCUAGUGUGACUCUCCAAUAUGUAUGGAUCCCUUCUCUUCAAUCUGCAAUUUCAAAAAUUAGUGAGAGAAAGAGAAAUGUAGCAUAGUGAGGGCUUUCGUAUGCGGGUGUGCAAGCUCCGAUGGUCUCUCGAGCCCCCGAUGUUGUUCGUGGUCCCUUCUGACAAGUGUAGACGGGGUCCUUCGGCAGUUGAAUGGAGAGAAUUGUGAAAUCUUUAAAGGUUAUUCCCCUGUCAUCGUCCAAACGAGAGAACCGAUCGAUGGGAGCAGGAACAUCAAGAGUGUUUGAGUGAGGUGAGCUCGAUUUUCAGAGAUGCCGAAGACAUCAGGCUCACAGAGGCAUAUUCUCUUGAGCCACCUGUGAGCACUGAACCCGAAUAAGGACGAGAGAGAAAAGUAAUUCAUCUCGUUUUCUUCUUUCCGCAGCAUAAUCUCAGGUGCAAGUGAGUUUAGAUCCCAUCGAAUCAUGCUUUCAAUUGUGCUUUGUCUCCAUCUCCAUGGCUACACCCAAGAAGCGUUCCAGAUGGAGGGAAUGGGGAUUUGCGGAUGACCAUGGUCAACGGAUGAAAUGGAGACGUUGGGGAUGAGGUGAUUUUCAAGCAUCGAUGAAGGAACCUACUUCAAUUCCAUUGGAGCGUAGGAGGAGUUUAGUGGCGCAUUGCUAGGUCCGACAUGGGAUGCGUCGCUGGAGGUUGAUUGCACCGACCCUCUGAGGACGCAAUGGGCAAUAGAGUUCAAGCAAGGAUGGAGUAUUUUGACCUAAUCCUAAUCCACCUCAUCUUUUAAGGUAUUAGCCUUUAAUUCAUUUGGGCUAAUAUCAUAUAGGUUCAAUUAGUUUAUUUUGGGCUUAUAUCAUAUGGAUUCAAUUAGUUUAUUUUGGGCUUAUAUCAUAUGGAUUCAAUUAGUUUAUUUUGGGCUUAUAUCAUAUGGAUUCAAUUAGUUUAUUUUGGGCUUAUAUCAUAUGGAUUCAAUUAGUUUAUUUUUAGGCUAAGUGACAUUGGGUUUAAGUUCAAGAUAAAUAUAAUAUAUGGUAAAGCCAUAUUAUUUAUAAUUAGAACAAAAAUGGAUUUUUGUUAUCUAAUUUAGUAGAUGGCAAAUAAUUAUGAAUAUGGUUUGCGUAAAUUAAUUACAAGGUAAUUAAUUUAAUAAAAAUUAACUAGAUUGAUAAAGUUGUAUGGAUUUUCUUAGGUCUAGGAUUUUAAUAUAGUAUGGUUAAAAUAUUAACGACUUUUAUGUAUAGUAUUUUAACGAGAAGGACUCUAGGAGUUAGCAUUUCCCCACAUAAUAAUGCAAGUAAAUAAAAAGUACAUUAUGAAAUAUUAAUGAGUAAUAUUUGAAGUAUGAACUAAGUAAGGAGUAUUAAUAUCAUUGUAGGUGACCAGAGAGCAGAGAAUCUGUCUUAGCUGUUUUGGUAGUAUAUUUUGUGUUUUGCUGCUUCAGGUAAGUCUCCUCAUUGUUUGUAUAGGUCUAAGGCACCAAUGUCGGCCCUUUUAGUUUAUGUAUGGUAAGAAGACCCGGUGGUUAGCCCUAGGCAUUAUGCAUGAAAGACCAGGAGGUGGCUCUUGGCACACUGUAUGUUAUUAUGUAUGAAAGACCAGGAAGCUGCUCCCGGCACACUCUAUAUUAUUAUGUAUGGUAGGAAGACCCGGGGGUUAGCCCAAGACAUUAUGUAUGAAGGACCAGGCGGUGGCUCCUGACACACUGUAUUCUAUUAUGUAUGAAAGACCAGGAGGUGGCUCCUGGCACACUGUAUGCUAAUUGGCUAAGUAGAGUAGUAUGUAUGCUAGUUGUCUUUGUGAUGCCUUCAUGGAAGACCAGGAGGUGGCUCUUGGCACUUGUCUGUGAGACCGAUGGGGUGGCCCCCAGCUUAGCAAGAAAGACCACGUGGUGGCUCGUGGCAUAAUGGCAAGACUAUGUUUGGCACAUAGCAUCUUUACUGAUUAUGAUAUAUGUAUGGCUCAUGGUUAUGUAUGACAGUAUGCAAGUAUGUGUUUAUAUGCUAGACAGUAUCCGGUUGAAAGAGACCGAAGGGGUAGGCUAGCACCCAGAUAUGCUAUGCAAUAUGUUGAUAUGUAUGGUAUGUGGUAUUUGUUGGAUUAUGUGUGUAAGCCCAUAACUAUUAUUGGUAUGUAUUCGACCCGAGAGUACCAUGGUCCAUUUAGGUUGCAUAUCAUCAGGACAAUUUGUUAGGAUGGACUUUUGAGAGAAGGUUAUUUAUGGUUUAUUAAUAUACUAUAAGUUAUAAUAUAUUAAUAUAAAAUCAUAUGUUUUAAUUAGUAUUGAUCAAGAAUUAAUUUGGAAUUAAUUUAGUGGUUAAAAGAGACUAAUUAAAUAUGUGGGGACUAAUUAUGAUAAUUAGUUAUAUGUGUUAGGCUUAUGAUCUAUGUUGGACCAAGUUUAUGUAUGGAUAUAUAAAGAGUUGGGCCACAUGAACCAUGAAUCAUAAAACUCAUGGGUAUGGAUUUGGGUUAUACCCAUGACUCUUGGAAUCCAACAUAUAAAUGUGCUACUUCAUGGACAAAAACGUGUACACUACUUUUCUUAGUGAAAUAUGGAGGUUUUUGGUGCAUGGUAUUCUCUCUCAAGUCCUACCUUUGUCCAUGAUUUGUUGUGACUUCAUUUGAGGCUUCCACACUAUUAGGGCUAAGCUCUUUAAGGCCAAAUACACCAAGAAUUCAAGGUCCAUCAAAAGGUAUGUGAUGCUAACUAGUAUAUUAUAUUUUUAUGUUAAAUGCAUGCUAGUUGUAAGCUUAAUACCUUGGAAACCAUUUGCAUGCAUAAUUAGUAAAAACAUAGAUCCAAGGUAUUUAAGGUUGUAUGUGCACCAUAGGAUGUUGUAGUAUACCAGAACCCAACAGUGGUGUCAGAGCCAUGAGUUGUUUUCAAUUAUACUUGAUGCAAGUUGCUGGAAAAAAAUGAAAAAAAAUCGAAGUUUUUGCUGUCUGAACAGGAGACUCGGCGAGUUGAACCCCCUGAAAGCAGAUCUUUGAGUUUUUUUGGCCUGUUUUGGAUUAGAAUCAUUACCACAAAGUGUUUUUGUUCAAAAAAAAUUAUUUUUUGAUACUAUGGUAAUGUUUAUUCUCAUCCAAAUAAAGGAUAAUAAUCAAAGUUUCAAGUUUUAUACAUUUUUAUAUGAUGCUUGAAAAAUGUUGAUUAUGAAUGUUCAUGUUUAUGAGUUUGUUUAGAUUAAUAGAAAAAAUUAUGAGAUAGUUGUUUUCAAUCCAAAUUAAUCUAGAAGUUGGUAAUAAUAUGUUUUUUUUGUAAUUUGUCCUCAAGUUACUUGAAAAUUCACAUUUAUAAAUUUUAUAACUCAUAAAAUUUCCAUAAGUUAUGAAAAAAUGAAGAGUCGCAUUUUUAAAUGCUUUUAAAGUCUUCCAUAACUUGUCUACAAGUUACGGAACUUGAAGGGUUUUUUCUCAAUCCAAAUUAAUCUAGAAGUUGGUAAUAAUAUGUUUUUUUUGUAAUUUGUCCUCAAGUUACUUGAAAAUUCACAUUUAUAAAUUUUAUAACUCAUAAAAUUUCCAUAAGUUAUGAAAAAAUGAAGAGUCGCAUUUUUAAAUGCUUUUAAAGUCUUCCAUAACUUGUCUACAAGUUACGGAACUUGAAGGGUUUUUUCUAUUAAACCACUUUAAAACUCAUAAGUUAUGGAAAUCAUAAGUUUUUGAAUUGUUCAAAACUUGUCCUCAAGUUUUGAAAUUUGUAAAGUCAAACCCCAUAUACACUUUAAUUCCAAACUCUAGAAUUUUAAAAGUUAAAGUUCAAACUUUAUCGACUUCAUUAAAUUAAUUAAAGUUUUUAAUUAAAAGAGUUAAUAAUUCCAUAAAGACAUGGUUUAAGUUUAAUUAAAUUAAGAGUAUAGUUUAAUUAAUAGAUUAAACCACCAAGUAUUUUAAAAUUUUAAAAUACACCCUUAUACUAUUAUAAUAUUAAUAGUUAAUACUUAUAUAUAUAUAUAUAUAUAUAUAUAUAUAUAUAUAUNNNNNNNNNNNNNNNNNNNNNNNNNNNNNNNNNNNNNNNNNNNNNNNNNNNNNNNNNNNNNNNNNNNNNNNNNNNNNNNNNNNNNNNNNNNNNNNNNNNNNNNNNNNNNNNNGGGGGUAUAAGGUUACUGCCUAUAAAAUGGCAGUUUAAUGGGUGUCCACUCUCACCCACCGCUUCCUUGACUGGUGGAGGGUCGUUAGCCGAACGGGUAGGACAAGGACUAUAAUUCUCCCUUCAUUAAAAGUAUUAAUGAUAAAUACUAAGUAACUAAACCUUUUAUAAAUACUCAAUCUUAGCUACUUAGGAAAAUGUGAAUUUGGUGCUAACCCAUGAAAUUCACACCUUGUACCUUACCAAGUUGUUGGUGGAGCGUGUGUGGGUAACCGACACACUAACUUGGACUAGUAAGGAUAACAUAGGGUGACUUAGUGUUUAUCAUAGAUCGGUGGAGCACGUGUGGGUAACCAACACAUCGAUUAGGUGAUAAUAUUAAGGGUACCAAGUGAAUUUGUAUGGUUAUUCACACCUUGUUUUGUGAUCCUCGGCAUCGCAGUCACAAAAUUUGAGAGGGCACACUCGAGAUUGAAACAUGCCAUUGAAAAGUUCAAUGAAUCUCAAAAGAUCUAGGAAUUUCAAAUCCAAUUAAAACCUAAUAAAUUAUUUCGUUUUUCAUGGUGGAAAUUGGUGAAUCGUCAUUCGCCUACCUUCAAAUAUUUUAUAGCUUGGAUUACGGCAUCCCUCUUCCAAGUUAUAAAAUAUUGUGUUGGGUCCUAGCCUUAAUAUUUCAUAUUGGGUGUUAUAUUAAGGACUUAAAAAUCAACUAACUUGAAUAUCUCCCAUUUUAGAUGUCUAGUUUAGAUAUCUAUGAUCUUCCCAAAUCUCUUGCAAUUUCACUUCCUCCACCCCCUCCAAUUAUUUUCCCUAACCCACAAGUUCAACGUCACUCAAGCCCUAUUGCCAAGCAAGGUCUAUGUGUGAUCACAUCUUCGAGAUGAAGUCACAUAUUGACAAGCCGGGAGAGUUGGGUGUCAAAUUCUUGAGAAAGUUGGAUGUUCAAUCACUUUCUAAGUCACAUAGUGAGUUCUUUUGGGACUACUAUGAAACAGACUAUGACAUGACGCUUUAUGAUUUUAUCUAUUUGCUUGGUGCUGCUGAAUCAGAAAUGAUUUGAGGACUAGUAAAACAAAAUUGAUUAGAAGAUCAACUUCCGAAACCUUCUAUUGCUAAAGGACGGGGCAUUGGUUGCGAAGCUGCCUAAUUUACCUGAACAAUCAUAAGGUUGGUAAAGUCAAAGAGUUUGACUCUACUUCGGGUAGAGUGCACUAUCUAACUCUAUUAAGUUCCUAUUUGAGAUUCUUAUACAUGAUGUGACCAUACCACAUUUUGAUGUUUUGUAGAAUCGAAGAGAGGAAGCUUAAAGGAAGUAUAUGCUGAUUCUUAUCGCGAAGAUGGAUUUCGAUCGCAUGGUUCAAUGAUUAGAAUUGUGAGUUGUUACUUAAGAGUUAUGAUAUAUUGCUUAGGAAUAGAUAACAACAAAUUCUUCAUAUGAUUUUGCAUUGUAAGGAUAAGUUUUUCCGCAAGUUUUAAAUAAAAGAUGAGGUUUUAUUUUAUUUAUUUUAAAUAUCCUUACAGUGGCAUUUGUGAAAAAUGGUUGUUUAUAUGAUUCCAUUGAUAACAAUAUUGGAAAAUGGAUUAGAUUCUUUCGGAAGUGGUAGUGUCAUAAUUUACCAAAUAAGGAAAGAUUCUCAUCACCCAAGUUUCAAUUAAACCGAAACUUGGAAUCAUACAAGUUGUAUGAUGAAUGAGAAUAUUCAUCAUUGGAAAAUUAAGUCAAGUGAAAGGACUAAGGGAUUGAGUACACAUUCGUGUGCACUGGUCAAGUCCACCACAAAGAUCGAUAAGACUAUUCGUCAUGAUUUACUAAAGUUUAGUAAAUAUGGUUAUACUUACAAGUUUAAGUAUAAUUCUGAAACAUUGGAAAAUGUUCGAUGUAUGGCAGAACGAAUGAGAAGAAUCAAACUAGGCAGAAAGAUAAAAGUUUCUCGAAUCUGAAAAGAUGGGAGAGUACUUUGGUAUCAUGUUUUAUGAUCAUCUUAAUGAUUAAGAUACCAUAUCACAAUUAAUCCUCUAAAGACAUCUUAGUGCAUUCUUAUGGCUAAGAAGAGGAGUCAUGAAUUGUUGGAAUGGGUAUAUCAUGAAGACGAGUCAUACUUCGUUCCAAAAACAAAGUCUUAGAGUCAUACUCCAAGAUUGUAACUUGAGUGACACAUCUUAAAAAGGUUUAUUAACGCUAGUCAAAUGUAAGAGCAAAAUGUUUUCUACUCUUGUACAUUUGAAAUUGGUAAGUUGUGAUGUUUUGGAUAAAACAAAGACCAACUAAGGCCAAUUGCGUGAAGUGUUAGUCUUGAUAAGAAUCCGCACUAUCCCUUGAAUCUUUGUUUUGUCAAGGAAUAGUUCUUGACAAGAGAGUCUUAUAUGUCAAGAGGAUAGUGGGAGUCUUGAAAAAAUUGAAAGUUUCAAGAACUAAUCAAGGAUAAAACCUAUAGUUCUUCACUAGCACACGACUUGUGGUUUAUAACCUAUCGUGUUGACAUUUCUAUGCCCAUUCCUGUUAAAGUUGGAUUUGCAUAGGAGUUCUGAGAGUUAUUAAUUGAUUGCAUAACUAGUUGGAAGCAAUGGUAGGCCCUUGGGCUGCCAGGUGGCAAAAAGUUAAGUCUGCACAAGUUCAAUCCAUAUGAAUUUGGAAGUGUCACUAACCUUGUCUUGUGAUUAUGGUUUUGACAAAAUUCAUAUGGAUAGGAACUCAUACACCAUAAAAUCGAAGUGUCAUUAGGUUUCUCUCCGAUUCAUGAAAAUGAUGGUGAGGAAACACUUUCACUAAGUAUAGUUUUAGUAGAUAGCAAUUGUGACAUUUGCAUUCUCAAAGGCGUUAGUGGAGCAUGUGUGGGUAACCGACACACUAACAUAGACUUGUGAGAAAUGGAAAAGGUCUAAACAAUUGAGACUAUGAUUACGACAUCCCUUUUCAUAGUUUUAAAAUUGUUUAGACACACAUGUGAGCUAUCUGAGGAAAGGUGUAUGAUUUUGAUAAAGUUUUAUCAAAGCAUCUUGUAUCAUAAAUUUGAACUUUGGUAAGAGAGUCAACAAAGUAUUGAUUUCUAGAAGUCCAACUAAUUUCUGGAUACAUGUCAAAGCUAGUGGGAGCAUAAGUGUUAUGCUAACAAUCAUCAUGUUAGUGGGAGCAUGAUAAUUAUGUUUAAUAUUGCGAGCUAUCAAUGUUAAUUAUAGAAAACAAAAGGGUUUCAAUUGGGAAAAGUUGUUUUGCUAUAAUUAAGGGAGAGAAAAUUAUACUUCAUUUCAAUUCUAAAAGCUUAGAUUGAGAUUUUGAUCAUCUUUAGUCAGGGAUAUAUAUAUAUGAAUUUUUUUUGGAAUGGUUCAACAUAAGGAAAUUCUAUAUAUAUUGCGUUCUCAAAAUUCGAUUAUGAUUACGGCAUCCCUCUUCAUAGUAAAAUUUUGAAAACAUGGCAAAUAAAAAAAAUUAUUGUAGCAAUAGAUUGGUCUAGUAUCAUGUCUUUAUGUGAGACAUCAUGAAUUGUGUCCCAUAUGCUUCGAAUAUAGGAUCGAUUGCAUGUGUUGUAAUAUUCAUCCUUUGUAAAUUUUCCAAAUGCUCAUGGCAUUAAGAGGGGAAAAGUCUAGAAUUGGAUAUGACUAAAAUGAUUAAACAAUUGUCGAGGAUGGUCUAAGUUUUACCAAAGAUUGGUUACUCAGGGACAGUUGGAAGUAUAGUGUUAAUUUUUGGAAAGGACCAUAAUUGGCAUAUUCUGAAAAGAGGCGACUCUUGUUCAGAAGUGAUAGUCAAAAUGAGAAUAUGGAAAUAUUCUCAUAGGUGGAAGUUAUUCAAUCUGUGUUAGAUGAGAAACCUUAAUGCAAGAAGGAUGUUCAAAGUAAUGUACUUUGAAUUUGAGACUUCCUUUCCAUGGAAUUGAUCUCCAUUGGAAUGCUCUGUAAUGUCUGAUGACAAGUCUUUGUGACUUUGUGCAUAGUCAUUACGAGAGGAUCAAUGCACAUAAGUUUAGAAUCUAACAGAUUUCGUUAAAUGGUAGGAAUUUGGAAUUCUUACAUUUACGAUAAAGAUUUGGGAUUGUGAAAUGAGCAUCAUUGGAAUCAUGUUCUGUUGAUUUAUUUCACAAAAAGAUCAUAGAUAAACAUAGUGUGCAUACUUGGUGUAUGGCAUGACUAGUGUUUAAAAAACAUAGUUUACAUGCUUGGAGCAUGGGACAACUAUUGUUUUAAUUCAAGUAUAAGGUUGAUUAUUUGAAACAUUAUCCAAUGAAUAAUGAGUAAUCAAUAUGGUGUUUAUAUAAAAGGUGUUUUAUUUACUCUCAAAGGUGCUUGGGACCAUAAAGGAUUAUUAUUAUUCUUGUGUUUCACUUUGCAUGUUUUGACUUCCAGAAUAACUAGGUUAUCCUUUCCGAAUGACUAAGUUAUUCAAACCAUCCACAGUUGAUAAUACGUUGGAAGUAGGUAUUAAGGCAAGACUGUCAUGAAUUGGGUUUGUAGAUGUCCAAGGUAGUGGACAUAGUAAGAGUUACUACAACAUUCAUGAGUACUCAUGGAAUAGGGAUUCGAGUAUUGGAUUCAACCCACGCUCAUUUGAAUCACUUCAUGGAUUUUAUCACGAGUGAUCAUGAGACAAUAAUAUCUUAUAUUCUUCAAACCUAUAGAUAUGAGUUGUUACUAUGAGUUGGUUGUACAUUCAUUGCACGAAAACUCAUUCGGUAACUCGAUGUUAUAAAACGUGGCUUUGUGUAUGAUUCAACAAGUAGUAGAACAAUCCAUAUGAGUUGAAGUUUAUCCAUUCCUUUUACCUUCAGGAUAAAAGCGAUAUCUGUGGGCCCCUCGAUGAUUUGGUGAUGACAAAAUGUAAGUGCUCGGUUGGGCCUGAACUAAUUCGAUCUGUUCAAUUAGUCAGUCAUCAUAAAUUGGAAAUCGAGAAACAACAAAUGGAUAGAGAGAAUGAUUAUAAUCCAUGUCUUAGUCCAUAUAAUAUCUAGAAUGGAGGAAUAUAUGAUCCCUUAUCUAAUGGACAUGUCAAUGAUUUGUUCAGAGUUCGACAACGGAUUUUAUGAGCUACGAUUGCUAGUCGGGAUCUUGGCGUCAUACACAAUAAUAGUUUUAGACUUAUCCAAGUGGGAGACUAUUGGAUUAGGUGUCUAAGCCCAUACCUAUUAUUGGUAUGUAUUCGACCCGAGAAUAGCAUGGUCCAUUUGGGUUGCAUAUCAUCAGGACAAUUUGUUAGGAUGGACUUCUGAGAGAAGGUUAUUUAUGGUUUAUUGAUAUAUUAUAAUUUAUAAUAUAUUAAUAUGAAAUCAUAUGUUUUAAUUAGUAUUGAUCAAGAAUUAAUUUGGAAUUAAUUUAGUGGUUAAAAGAGACUAAUUAAAUCUGUGGGGACUAAUUAUGAUAAUUAGUUAUAUUUAUAUAUGUUGGGAUUAUGAUCUAUGUUGGACCAAGUUUAUGUAUGGAUACAUAAAGAGUUGGGCCACAUGAACCAUGGAUCAUAAAACCCAUGGGUAUGGAUUUGGGUUAUACCCAUGACUCUUGGAAUCCAACAUAUAAUUGUGCUACUUCAUGGCUAAAAAUGUGUACACUACUUUUCUUAGUGAAAUAUGGAGGUUUUUGGUGCAUGGAAUUCUCUCUCAAGUCCUAACUUUGUCCAUGAUUUGUUGUGACUUCAUUUGAGGCUUCCACACUAUUGGGGCUAAGCUCUUUAAGGCGAAAUACACCAAGAAUUCAAGGUCCAUCAAAAGGUAUGUGAUUCUAACUAGUAUAUUAUAUUUUUAUGUUAAAUGCAUGCUAGUUGUAAUACCUUGGAAACCAUUUGCAUGUAUAAUUAGUGAAAACAUAGAUCCAAGGUAUUUAGGGUUGUAUGUGCACCAUAGGAUGUUGUAGUAUGCCAAAACCCAACAGUAUUUGGGGAGCUCACUAAGCUUCGCGCUUACAGUUUUAAGUUUGGUUUCAGGUACUUCGUUUUCAAAGGAAAGGAGUCGGCUUGAUCGCAACACAUCACACUAUAUUUCCGCACAUGAGAUCUUUUGGAUUACACUAUGAUAUGAUGGUUUUAUAAUAACGUAUUUAAAGAUGAAAUUUUUGGCCUAUAAUUUUGGGAUGUUACAAGUUGGUAUCAAAGCCUUGGUUUGAGGGAUUCGAGGACACUCUCGGGUGUGUCUGAACUCAAACUAACGACUUGGUAUGAAAAUUUUCAAAAGUAAAACCCUUUUAUAAAAUGAAGUUUGAAAAUAAUUUGAAAAGAGAAAAGAACUUUGAAAAGAACAAGGUGUGUGAUGCGUGCAAUUAGCCGAGCUCAAGUAAGUUUUCCCCAAGAUACCCAUACAUGUUAUGAUAUGUUAUGUUAUGUUAUGAUAUGAGUAUGAGAACUGCAUGCUAGAUUAGGGCUAAGGAUCUAGGAGGAUGUCUUACAUGCCUAUUAUAUGUGCUUGUACACUUGCAUGCUAGUGCUUAUCAGUCAGUGAUAGGAUAGCCCAUUUAGGUUAUGCCUGAUUGUAUGAGCCUUUGAAUUGCAUGUACAGAUUCCUUAUUAGAGGAUAGGAUGGUUUGAUUGGAAUAUUAUGGUUAGAUUUUCGAUUGUCUAAAUGUUGCUUGCUUUUUGCUUUGUAGGACUCUUAGUAAUGUGAGCUAGCUAUUAAGUGAAUAUGCUAAGUCACAUGUGGCAUAGGUUAGAUAAUCUCAGAGUAAUUGAUUUGACCAUAUUACGCAGCUCUGGUCUGAGUCGAAACGUUCUAGGGAUGGGUAUAUUACUCCGAGGAUUAUCUGAUCUCUGUUUCAUGUGGCUAUAUUCAUGAGGUAGCUAGUUGACAUUACUGGUAACCUUUCAACAUCUGAGAACUGGGUGCGUACGGGAACCUAGGGAAGCCUAGGAUAUGUUUCAGUGGGUUAGUAUUGAGGCUCAGUGAGACUUGGGUGUACUAGCUUGAGGGAGUGACUUAGAGGAUUCGGGAGAAUUGCUGACGAAAGUAUGGAUAGGUGUGGAAGGUAGUAUCGGGCCCGUACUACUGAAAGCACAUGAUCCAUACUCGAAUUAGUAAGAGUCUUGGAGAAUCUGAGAAGCUUCAGGGAGAAGUCUGUGACCAGGUUUGGGGAUAGAGGAUGUUUCAUUUGUUGCAACUUAGCAAUUGGCAAGCGAGCUAGUAAGUGUGACAGGGUGUUAGACCCUAAAGGAUAUGAUUUCCAAGGGGUUGCAAAUGCGAGAUCGAUUUAGAGCACUUUGAGAAAAGGGGUUCAUGCCAGGUGUGUAUAGUAGAGGAUUUCGGGAAGAGACCCACGAAUUUUGAUCAUCAGGUGAUAGGCCAACAAGGCCGGAGUAAUUGCAGCUCAUAUGUGAAAAUGCACAAGGGCGUUUGUCACUCCAAGGAUUUAGGCUGCUACAGGUGUGGCACAGUUGAUCAUGUCAGCUGAAGGUGAUCAGUAUUCCUCCAGAUGUUGCGAGUAUGUCAUCUUCUUCUGCUGAUAGAUGAAUGUUGGGGAUACGUAUCGCUUUAGGAUUAUGAGUGAGUUUGGAUAAGUCAGAUCUCGAGUCGGUUUUCUUCUAGUGUUUGGGUUAUCAAGGAUCUUAUAUGCCAUCCUGUAUGCCGAAAGCUCUUUGAUGAACCCACAGAGGGACGUAUCUUGCGGAGUGGGUUCCGCUUGUACCGUUAUCAUUCUGAAUCUUUGUCGAGAUAUGUGCAGGAGUAUGGUUUGGAAGAUUCUCGGUCAGGGUUAGAGUGAUAGUUCAACAGUGAAGUCAGCGUUCAGGGGUUAUGUCAUUGUUCAGGUGUGGUCGACAAUUGUUUAUGGAUGAACUUUGGAGUUCAAGGCACUACCGUUGCUAGGACAUAACUGGUAACAUGAAGAGGGUAUUUUUAGUUGCAUGUAUUAGAUGCAUAAGUGGUUGGUCAUCGGAUGUUCAAGAAAAUUGUACUUUCGCAUGGGCUGUGUACGGUUAAAGUGCAGUGGUGUUGUGGGAUUGGAAGUGGGAACGAGGACUCGUCAGCCAAAGUGGAGGUUAAAGCCUCUAGUUGUCAGCAUAGGAGGUGGAUUGAGGUGUCAGACUAGACCAGAUUCCAAGAGUACUCAUCAAGAUUUACGAGGAUGGGCGAUAUUAAGGUUUAACCGGUGACUAAUCGCUAGCAUUGGUAAGCACAGGUUAUUAUCGGUGGGAUACUAGAAAGCGAGAAGGAUUGGGAAUCCUUCUAUUCUCACGUGUCGUGAAGACUUAGUCGAAUCUAAGUGGGGAGAGACUUUUUAUAAAGUUCUCCAAAUGUGAGUUCUGGUUGCGCGAUGUGCAAUCUUUUGGGGACCCUGUCAACUAGAAGAGUAUUCUGGUUGAUCCGGCCAAGAUAGGGGUCAUGAUGCAGUGGGAGAUUUCGAGGUCUCCAACUAAGAUUCAGAGUUUCCUGGGUCUAGGGAGAUAUUACCAAAGGUGUAUAUGAGACUUCUCCGAGAUUACGGUUCCUUUGACCCGACUGACCAAGAAGUCGGUGGUCUUUCGUGGUUUACUGUGACGCUUCGAUCACGGGCAUGGGUGCGGUACUGAUGCGGUUGGGCCACGUGAUAACAUGCCUUAGGGAAUCAGGUUGGGGAUUCCAGUCUGGACAUGAUUUCAAUUGAGUGUUAGGUCAAGCACGUGUUCGACCCAGUGUAGAAGUGCUGUAAGACUAUGGGGUGGCCUGUAGCAUUCAUUAGUGGUCAGUUAGUAUGGGAGUGUUGUAAGACUAUGGGGUGGCCCGUAGCAUUCACUGGUCCCUAUUCGACAGUCAGAAUGUGGCAAAUUUGUGAUUUACUCACAACAUGAUCGGAUUUGGGGGAUGACAGGUCGUUACAGACUAGGCGUGAUGUAAGGCUAGAGUUGUUUUGGUAGCCUUCACUUUUCGUAUUAGAUUCGAAGGCGACAGGUAGUCGAACCGUCAUGAUCGGGAAAAUCAGAAGGAAUAAUGGAACCAUGCGUGGCAAUAUGGUUAGGCAGACUCCAAAAGCCGAAGUCCUCUUCGGAAGUCACCUGGGGCGACUGUGAGGUUCCUCUUGGCUUUGCAACCGGACAAGAAUUCAGUAUUCCAGAUAAGUUGGGGACCAGGGAGGUCUCGAUUGCCUUUGGAAAGUGGAUAGGAGGCAGCACGAUGCUUCAGAUAGUAGUAGUGAUUUGGGGAUUCGUGUGUGUGCAGUAACUUGAUGAUCGAAAGUGCUAAGUCAUUUGCAGUGGGAUUAAAUAAUCUCAGAGUAAAGUAUUUGACCCCGUUGCGCAGGUCUCAUCUGAGUCUAACCGUUGUAUGGAUGAAUCUUCCACUCGAAGGAUUAUCUGAGCCUUCUGUAUAGUUAAGUAUUCUGCAGCUAGUUAUGGAUAUGGGAUUUGUUUUCAUGAUUUGUAUCAAGAUCAUCUGGUUGGAAGUAUUUAUGGUUGAUCACGUGUUCGAAGAGGUUUUGGCUUGGUAGCAUUACAGUGUAGGCGGUCUGUCAGAGAGAAAGACCACUAUGGAUUUCAGACUCCGGUUAGGUAGAAGUGGUUUUGGCGGAAGGUUUAGAGUUUUAUUCGGGACAAAAUUUUGGUUUAGGUUUCAGUUAUCCUGGGAAGGUUGUUUUACACGUUGAAUCAUCGGUUGCGUCCUUAGAACAUUAGUUUGGAUAUGGGAGUUAGUAUGGACCNNNNNNNNNNNNNNNNNNNNNNNNNNNNNNNNNNNNNNNNNNNNNNNNNNNNNNNGCUAGCUAAUACAAAUUAAGCGUUAUAAAAUAAUCCGAAUAUUAAUUUCAUUCAAGGAUAAUUUAUGGGGUGAGAUAGUCGAGUUAAUACACAAAACGCAUUUGCGGGUGAAGUGGAAGAAUUAGAUAAAGUUAAAUAAGAGUUUUAAGUGAAUUAUUGAUUAAGCUCAUUGCGAAGGUUAAUAAUAAUAAUAAUAAAAAUUAUUGGAAUGUGUUAGUCCAAGGGCCAAACAGUAACAUUCGACAAUCAAAUUGUUAAGACAAUCAGAAGGUUUUAAUCGUCAAGCUUCAAGAACCCUAGGGACCAAACCUAUCAACUUCAACACCAUGUUCACUCUUCCUGAUUCAUCGAUGGAGGCUUGUCGCUUUCCCUAUCGUGGUCCUGCAAUUGUUGAUGCCAAUGAAGGGAGCUGGUCCCAUUCCUUUACAUGUUCCAUUGGCCAUUAAAAUCAAGAGUAACACUCCAAUAUGUUUGGAGCCCUUCUCUUCAAUCUGCAAUUUCGAAAAUUAGUGAGAGAAAGAGAAAUUUAGCAUAGUGAGGGUUGUCGUAUGCGGUUGUGCGAGCUCCGGUGGUCUCUUGAGCACCCGAUGAUGUUCGUGGUCUCUUCCGAUAAGUGUAGACGGUGUCCUUCGGUAGUAGAAUGGAGAGAAUUAUGAAGUCUUUAAAGGUUAUUCCCCUGUCAUCGUCCAAACCAGAUAACCGAUCGAUGGUAGCAGGAACAUCAAGAGUGUUUGAGUGAGGUGAGCUCGAUUUUCAAAGAUGCCGAAGACAUCAGGCUCAUAGUGGCAUAUUCUCUUGAGCCACAUGUGAGAACUGAACCAGACUAAGGACGAGAGUGAAAAGUAAUUGCUCUUGUUUUCUUCUUUCCGCAGCUUAAUCUCAGGUGCAAGUGAGUUUAGAUCCUGUCGAAUCAUCCUUUCAAUUGUGCUUUGUCUCCAUCUCCAUGGCUACACCCAAGAAGCGUUCCAGACGGAGGGAAUGAGGAUUUGCGGAUGACCAGGUCAAUUGAAGAAAUGGAGACAUUGGGGAUGAGGUGAGUUUCAAGCAUUGAUGAAGGAAACUUCUUGAAUUCCAUUGGAGCGUAGGAGGAGUUUAGUGCCGCAUUGCUAGGUCCGACAUGGGAGCCAUUAGCCAGAAGCUUGUGGUUCGAUGUCCUCAAAAUGGAAUGCGUCGUCGGAGGUUGAUUGCACUGACCCUCUGAGGACGCAAUUGGUGAGCGAGUUCAAGCAGGGAUGGAGUACUGGGACCUAAUCCUAAUCCACCGCAUCUUUUAAGGUAUUCGGAUUUAAUUCAUUUGGGCUAAUAUCAUAUAGGUUCAAUUAGUUUAUUUUGGGCUAGUAUCAUAUGGAUUCAAUUAGUUUAUUUUUAGGCUAAGUGACAUUAGGUUUAAGUUCAAGAUAAAUAUAAUAUAAUGUAAAGCCUUAUUAUUUAUAAUUAAAAUAAAAAUGGAUUUUCGUUAUCUAAUUUAGUAGAUGGCAAAUAAUUAUGAAUAUGGUUUGGGUAAAUUAAUUACAAGGUAAUUAAUUUAAUAAGAAUUAACCACAUUGAUAAAGCUGUAUGGAUUUUCUUAGGUCUAGGAUUUUAAUAUAGUAUGGUUAAAAUAUUAACGACUUUUAUGUAUAGUAUUUUAACGAGAAGGGCUCUAGGAGUUAACAUUUCCCCACAUAAUAAUGCAAGUAAAUAAAAAGUAUAUUAUGAAAUAUUAAUGAGUAAUAUUUGAAGUAUGAACUAUGUAAGGAGUAUUAAUAUCAUUAUAGGUGACCAGAGAGCAGAGAAUCAGUCUCAGCCGUUUUGGUAGUAUAUUUUGUGUUUUGCUGCUUCAGGUGAGUUUCCUCAUUGUUUGUAUGGGUCUAAGGCACCAAUCCCAACCCAUUUAGUUUAUGUAUGGUAGGAAAACCAGGUGGUUAUCCCUAGGCAUUAUAUGUUAUCCCUAGGCAUUAUAUAUGAAAGACUAGGAGGUGGCUCUUGGCACACUGUAUGCUAUUAUGUAUGAAAGACCAGGAAGCUGCUCCUAGCACACUCUAUGUUAUUAUGUAUGGUAGGAAGACCCGGGGGUUAGCCCAAGAAAUUAUGUAUGAAGGACCAGGUAGUGGCUUCUGACACACUGUAUUCUAUUAUGUAUGAAAGUCCAGGAGGUGGCUCCUGGCACACUGUAUGCUAAUUGGCUAAUUAGAGUAGUAUGUAUGCUAGUUGUGUUGGUGAUGCUUGCAUGGAAGACUAGGAGGUGGCCCUUGGCACUUGUCUGUGAGACCAAGGGGGUGGCCCCUGGCUUGGCAAAAAAGACCACGUGGUGGCUCGUGGCAUAAUGGCAAGACUAUGUUUGGCACAUAGAAUCUUUACUGAUUAUGAUAUAUGUAUGGCUCAUGGUUAUGUAUGACAGUAUGCGAGUAUGUGUUUAUAUGCAAGACAGUAUCCGGUUGAAAGAGACCGAAGGGGUAGGCUAGCACCCAGAUAUGCUAGACAACAUGUUGAUAUGUAUGCUAUGUGGUAUUUGGGGAACUCACUAAGCUUCGUGCUUACGGUUUUCAGUUUUGGUUUCAGGUACUUCGUUUUCAAAGGAAAGGAAUCGGCUUGAUCGCAUCGCAUCACACUAUAUUUCCGCACAUGAGAUCUUUGGGAUUACACUCUGAUAUUGUUUUAUGAUAACAUAUUUUGAUUAUUUCUACUUUGGUUUUGACAAGACAUGAUGUUAUGGAUGUUUUAUUAUACUGAUGGUUUUAUAAUAACGUAUUUAAAAUGAAAUUUUUGGCCUGUAUUUUUGGGAUGUUACACAUUUGAGUUUGAAGCAUUGUUUGAAGCAGACAUUUGAAAAGAAAGACAAGUUUCAUUAGAUAGAAAUUCCUUAAUAUCACGCCUAAAUGAAAUAUUAAGGCUAGGACCCAACACAAUAUUUCACAAUUCUGAAGAGGGAUGCUGUAAACCAAUUGCAAAAUAUUUGAAGGUAGAUAAAUGACGAUUUACCAAUUUCAC
rnacentral:lncRNA from 1 species